rnacentral:rRNA from 1 species
UAGGUUAACGAGGCGAACCGGGGGAACUGAAACAUCUAAGUACCCCGAGGAAAAGAAAUCAACCGAGAUUCCCCCAGUAGCGGCGAGCGAACGGGGAGCAGCCCAGAGUCUGAAUCAGCUUGUGUGUUAGUGGAACGGUCUGGAAAGUCCGACGGUACAGGGUGAUAGUCCCGUACACCAAAAUGCACAGGCUGUGAACUCGAAGAGUAGGGCGGGACACGUGGUAUCCUGUCUGAAUAUGGGGGGACCAUCCUCCAAGGCUAAA